GUCCCCCCAGAUGUUCCGUCCGUGUCCGCAUAAGCGGAGGCAGGCGAUGACGAGCGCAGGCGAAAGCGGCGCGGGUGGCAAAGCACGACCUGGGCACCCUUGAGUUAUCGC
rnacentral:ncRNA from 1 species